rnacentral:rRNA from 1 species
GAACGCUGGCGGAAUGCUUUACACAUGCAAGUCGAGCGGCAGCGCGGGGGCAACCCUGGCGGCGAGCGGCGAACGGGUGAGUAACAUAUCGGAACGUACCCAGUCGGUGGGGGAUAACUAUCCGAAAGGAUAGCUAAUACCGCAUACGUCCUGAGGGAGAAAGCGGGGGACCGCAAGGCCUCGCGCGAUUGGAUGAGCCGACGUCGGAUUAGCUAGUUGGCGGGGUAAAGGCCCACCAAGGCGACGAUCCGUAGCUGGUCUGAGAGGAUGAUCAGCCACACUGGAACUGAGACACGGUCCAGACUCCUACGGGAGGCAGCAGUGGGGAAUAUUGGACAAUGGGCGCAAGCCUGAUCCAGCAAUGCCGCGUGUGUGAAGAAGGCCUUCGGGUUGUAAAGCACUUUUAUCAGGAACGAAAAGCGUUGGAUUAAUACUCUGACGUGCUGACGGUACCUGAGGAAUAAGCACCGGCUAACUUCGUG